rnacentral:rRNA from 1 species
AUUGAACGCUGGCGGCAUGCUUUACACAUGCAAGUCGGACGGCAGCACAGAGAUGCUUGCUUCUUGGGUGGCGAGUGGCGAACGGGUGAGUAACAUAUCGGAACGUACCGAGCAGUGGGGGAUAACUAAUCGAAAGAUUAGCUAAUACCGCAUAUUUUCUGAGGAAGAAAGCAGGGGACCUUUUGGCCUUGCGCUGUUUGAGCGGCCGAUAUCUGAUUAGCUAGUUGGUGGGGUAAAGGCCUACCAAGGCGACGAUCAGUAGCGGGUCUGAGAGGAUGAUCCGCCACACUGGGACUGAGACACGGCCCAGACUCCUACGGGAGGCAGCAAUGGGGAAUUUUGGACAAUGGGCGCAAGCCUGAUCCAGCCAUGCCGCGUGUCUGAAGAAGGCCUUCGGGUUGUAAAGGACUUUUGUCAGGGAAGAAAAGGGCGGGGUUAAUACCCCUGUCUGAUGACGGUACCGGAAGAAUAAACACCGGCUAACUACGU